rnacentral:rRNA from 1 species
UACGUAGGCAGCAAGCGUUGUUCGGAAUUAUUGGGCGUAAAGGGCGCGUAGGCGGCUGUACAAGUCAAAGGUGAAAUCCCUCGGCUCAACUGAGGAACUGCCUUUGAAACUGUACGGCUUGAGGCCGGGAGGGGGUAGCGGAAUUCCCAGUGUAGCGGUGAAAUGCGUAGAUACUGGGAGGAACACCAGUGGCGAAGGCGGCUACCUGGACCGGUUCUGACGCUGAGGCGCGAAAGCGUGGGUAGCAAACAGG